rnacentral:rRNA from 1 species
AGCGGACAGAUGGGAGCUUGCUCCCUGAUGUUAGCGGCGGACGGGUGAGUAACACGUGGGUAACCUGCCUGUAAGACUGGGAUAACUCCGGGAAACCGGGGCUAAUACCGGAUGGUUGUUUGAACCGCAUGGUUCAAACAUAAAAGGUGGCUUCGGCUACCACUUACAGAUGGACCCGCGGCGCAUUAGCUAGUUGGUGAGGUAACGGCUCACCAAGGCAACGAUGCGUAGCCGACCUGAGAGGGUGAUCGGCCACACUGGGACUGAGACACGGCCCAGACUCCUACGGGAGGCAGCAGUAGGGAAUCUUCCGCAAUGGACGAAAGUCUGACGGAGCAACGCCGCGUGAGUGAUGAAGGUUUUCGGAUCGUAAAGCUCUGUUGUUAGGGAAGAACAAGUACCGUUCGAAUAGGGCGGUACCUUGACGGUACCUAACCAGAAAGCCACGGCUAACUACGUGCCAGCAGCCGCGGUAAUACGUAGGUGGCAAGCGUUGUCCGGAAUUAUUGGGCGUAAAGGGCUCGCAGGCGGUUUCUUAAGUCUGAUGUGAAAGCCCCCGGCUCAACCGGGGAGGGUCAUUGGAAACUGGGGAACUUGAGUGCAGAAGAGGAGAGUGGAAUUCCACGUGUAGCGGUGAAAUGCGUAGAGAUGUGGAGGAACACCAGUGGCGAAGGCGACUCUCUGGUCUGUAACUGACGCUGAGGAGCGAAAGCGUGGGGAGCGAACAGGAUUA